GUCGAUACUCACGCAGCAAACUCAGCAAACAGAGCGCGGUCCAGCCCCGCGGCAUCGCGGACCCCGUGCGCGCGCCUUGGCGGACCAGCAUCCUUCCCGCGCGGCUCGCCUCGCAGAUGCACAGAGUCCAAGACACUGCUCAGCGGAGCCGGGACGCGCUCCUCCCGCCCCCUCCGCCCGGGAGGGGGGUGGGAGAUUCUCGCUUUUUCCCCUCCCCUCCCUCUUUCGCCUUGGCAAGGCCGGCCCCUCUCCUUGGCUGCCACUAACGUAAGCUUCCCCGGUUAGUCCCAAAGGCAGAGGACUUUGGAGGGAGACUAGGAUUGCCGCAGACGAGGCCCCCUGAAAAUCGGUGGAGAUCUGGGAGCUCUCUAUUCCUCACCAGUUGUUCUGGGUAUCGGUGAAGUGGAGCAACGGGAACUCUGAGCUGAGGCUGUCAGCACUGUCACAGAUUGGGGAGAAAUUUCUUCUGGUUAUUUCAAAUGCCACUUUUCUCCCCUGGCUGAACCCUGGGAAAUGGAGGAAAGAACUCAUCUAUAGUACCUGAAUUAGCUUUGGGGACAGAGGAGAUGGAGAAUGAUUCUAUGGAGCAAAGUUUCUCAAAGCAUGGUCUACACAAAAGCAGAAUCAAGUCAGCCUUCUGGGCUGAUUGUGAACUUCUGAGGACCAGAAUCGAGGCUGAAUAAGGGGCUCAGCAGAUGGAAGCCACUUGAAACCAAACCUGCUCUAUUAGGCAUACAGGGGCAUAUUGUGUUCUCCUGGGCAGCCAUGGCUUUUAUCAGCACCUCUGGGGCAGAGCAUGCAUGGAGCAUUGGU